AAACUUGGAAAGAUCUUUAAUCUUUUCAACUGAAGGCUGCUCGCUCAUACUAGUACUACCUUUGUCCUUUAACCUUCUAACUCUACACUAAUAUUCAGAUCAAAACUGGGGUGUACUAUUCGGUUAUUAUAUAUAGAUCUACGACCUACGUGGUAAACCAACGUUUCUCAUAAAUCCAACAU